CAUGCAAGUCGACACACGCUUCUUUCCUCCCGAGUGCUUGCACUCAAUUGGAAAGAGGAGUGGCGGACGGGUGAGUAACACGUGGGUAACCUACCCAUCAGAGGGGGAUAACACUUGGAAACAGGUGCUAAUACCGCAUAACAGUUUAUGCCGCAUGGCAUAAGAGUGAAAGGCGCUUUCGGGUGUCGCUGAUGGAUGGACCCGCGGUGCAUUAGCUAGUUGGUGAGGUAACGGCUCACCAAGGCCACGAUGCAUAGCCGACCUGAGAGGGUGAUCGGCCACACUGGGACUGAGACACGGCCCAGACUCCUACGGGAGGCAGCAGUAGGGAAUCUUCGGCAAUGGACGAAAGUCUGACCGAGCAACGCCGCGUGAGUGAAGAAGGUUUUCGGAUCGUAAAACUCUGUUGUUAGAGAAGAACAAGGACGUUAGUAACUGAACGUCCCCUGACGGUAUCUAACCAGAAAGCCACGGCUAACUACGUGCCAGCAGCCGCGGUAAUACGUAGGUGGCAAGCGUUGUCCGGAUUUAUUGGGGCGUAAAGCGAGCGCAGGCGGUUUCUUAAGUCUGAUGUGAAAGCCCCCGGCUCAACCGGGGGAGGGUCAUUGGAAACUGGGGAGACUUGGAGUUGCAGAAGAGAAGAGAGUGGAAAUUUCCAUUGUGUAGCGGUGAAAAUGGCGUAGAUUAUAUUGGAGGGAACCACCAGGUGGGCGAAAGGCGGCUUCUUCUGGGUCUGUAAACUGACGCUGAGCUCGAAAGCGUGGGGGAGCAAACAGGAUUAGAUACCCUGGUAGUCCACGCCGUAAACGAUGAGUGCUAAGUGUUGGAGGGUUUCCCGCCUUCAGUGCUGCAGCAAACGCAUUAAGCACUCCGCCUGGGGAGUACGACCGCAAGGUUGAAACUCAAAGGAAUUGACGGGGGCCCGCACAAGCGGUGGAGCAUGUGGUUUAAUUCGAAGCAACGCGAAGAACCUUACCAGGUCUUGACAUCCUUUGACCACUCUAGAGAUAGAGCUUUCCCUUCGGGGACAAAGUGACAGGUGGUGCAUGGUUGUCGUCAGCUCGUGUCGUGAGAUGUUGGGUUAAGUCCCGCAACGAGCGCAACCCUUAUUGUUAGUUGCCAUCAUUUAGUUGGGCACUCUAGCGAGACUGCCGGUGACAAACCGGAGGAAGGUGGGGAUGACGUCAAAUCAUCAUGCCCCUUAUGACCUGGGCUACACACGUGCUACAAUGGGAAGUACAACGAGUCGCUAGACCGCGAGGUCAUGCAAAUCUCUUAAAGCUUCUCUCAGUCGGAUUGCAGGCUGCAACUCGCCUGCAUGAAGCCGGAAUCGCUAGUAAUCGCGGAUAGCACGCCGCGGUGAAUACGUUCCCGGGCCUUGUACACACCGCCCGUCACACCACGAGAGUUUGUAACACCCGAAGUCGGUGAGGUAACCUAUAGGGAGCCAGCGCGCC
rnacentral:rRNA from 1 species